AUGCCCCUCACUAGCAGCAGUUUAUCUCACAUAUCCCUACCCGGACCUGGCAUCAGGAGCCAAGCCGUAUCAACAAUCAACAGCAGACCUAAGAUCUCGGAGAAGAGGAUCCCCGGCAAUAACUCUCCUUUGACACAUAGGCGCUAUCAGCCCUUCUCUUAUGCCGGGUCUGGGGGAGGAGUAAUUUUUUCUGCCUGGAGCGAGCCAGGUCUGGGAUCUUUCCCAUAG
rnacentral:lncRNA from 1 species